UAUCUGAACAGCCUUACUCACAGUCUUCCUGAAGUAAAACAAAUAAUACUAUGCAUUUCUUAAGAUAAAAUGAUGAAAUGCCAUUUACAAGUGAUACUUAUUAUCUGAAUUAUCAUUAUUCCUACUGGAAUCCUCUUCUCUUUUGCCUUACUGUUGCUAUAUAUGAUUGAGAAGUCUGCCUUCCUGCACUUUUCCUUACGAAGUACAUAAAAACAAGAAGAGAGCAUAUCUGGAAGGCACAUUCACUGACAGCCUGGAGUUGUGAAAAAACACUGAAUUAUGGGGUACAGUGGAAACAUUUUUAUUACCAUCCAGUCCUCAACUCUUGCAACUACACAUAUUCUUUAAAUUAUUUUCUUUGGUCAUUGUUUACUCCAGCUCUCUACACUGUGUAUCUUAUUUAAAAUACUGCACAACCAAGAAGGUUCUGUUCUCACUGUGUCUUGGUGGCUGACUUUGGCUCAAUUCCAGCCUCCCCAAUAGGAACUGGGCCUAAUAAGCUCUGCAGGACCUUCUCAGCAGGGAAGGAGAGCUCAAAGGCAGCUAAAGGGAGAGUGUACAUGUCUGUGGGGAGCUGAGCUGGAUGUCUGUAGCAGGUACACAGACUGGAAGACUUGCAAGAAAAGGCUGUUGAGGAAUGGCCCAGAAGCACAGUGAAUUAAAGUGCUUGUGCAACCAUAGCCUCCAGCAUCCAUCACAGCAUGAUUUCUUUACUAAGAAUAGCUGAAGUGGGCAGAGCAAAUGCUUGUCUGUGAUUCACUGUGAUUUAUAUGGCUCCUCAGACCCUCACCAAUAACAAACACCUGGGAAGGCGUGACCACCAAAAGCACUCAGACCUUUCCAAGGGUAUUCCUGUACCUCCCCUCAGGGCUGAAAGAAAAUGGCCCUGCUGCCAAUCAGGUCUAGGCAUGAGCUUAAGAUAAAUGAGCAGGACAACACAAGAAACUGUCACUACCUUAAAGUAGCACCAUAUGAAUGUGAACUUCCCGUGGCAACAUCAUCAGAAAUAUCAAUUUGGGUACCCAUGUGACUAAGCAAUCGAGGAGAAAGUAAUUGGGGGUGAAUUGAUGUCUUGGAAGAAGCCUGGGUUAGAGAAAGACAGGUGUAAAAGUGGAUUAGAGGGUCAGAAAACUGUAAAACCUGUAUCAAGGCAUGUAAAUUACAUGAUCACUGCUGCCUGGGAAUAUAUACUGGAUGGCUCUGCCACAGCCUCAAUCUUACAACCCAAACCAUUGUCCACAUGUUGUGAAACCUGCUUCUGCAGUCAAGAAAGAAGGAACAGGAGUUUUCCCUGUUUGGAAGGGUGAAUCAAGCAUCUUGACAUCUCUGUGUCAUCAUGCCAUACCUCAGCCUGUCUACCCACUACAUCCUAAUGCUUCCAAGCCCACACUCACAGUUUCCCAAUCUUCUGCUUUAAGGACGUCCUGAACAAGAAGUGACACCUGUGUAUUAACUGCACUCAGGGAUUUUUCUUCCAUGCAUUUGUCUCAUCAUGUCUCAAGGUAGCAGAUGUAACAUCCUGCGGCAAAAAAUACCAGGAACUGAACCACAAGAUCUACAAGAGCAUCCUAAACCUCCAAGCAAGCCAAGGUGAAAUCAGCACGAGUGCUGAUGAAUGCAAUGCACUAUCCAUACAGCAGACAGACUGAAACAAUACUUUGUCCUUCAAAUCUGUACAAACGCCAAGCCUACGUAAGAAACGUGUACUGGAUUCCAGGUAUAGGCUGUUGACAAUCAUCUGUGGGAACUGACAACUGUUCUCCUGGGAGCACCAGUCCCGUAGUGCUGGAAAUACAAACCCUCCGCAUCUGUUUUGCAUUCCACCUCUGCUAUACUCUUCCUCCACAGAAAAAUGGAUAUAAAUAUACCCUUUUAAAAAAUAUUCCUCCUAAAAAUAGUUAUGAGCAUUUAUCUACAGAUUGGUGAAAUGGCCCAGCUGUACAGUCCAGCUUGCAAAAAUAACUUCUGAUAUGGCGUGAAGGAUCUUGACUAGUAGGUGAAAAUAGAAGCAUGAUAUUUAGAAACCAAUUCUAGUAUUCUGAGUAACAUGGACUAACUUCAGGUUUUAGAAACUACUAAUUUAGACAUUUAGAAAUUGCCAAACAUACAGCUAGGGCCUGAAAACUGUGCAUAGUCUGGUCAACUGGAAUAAACAUGAGGAAAAGAGGCUGGCUGCCCCCGUUUCUUACAAGUAUUAAAACUAGGGUGAUUAUAUCCUCUACUAAACAUCAAAAAAUUUCCCCUAUUAGUUUUGCGCCCUGGCUCCCCAGCUCCUCUCCCUGUCCAUCAGUGACAAUGCCAAUACAAGCUUCAUGUGCAAUAACCCAGUCACUUGCUGGGCCAACAGACUUACACAGAGUACUGUGGGUCAGGUUUUAGUCACACCAGCAGGAAUGAAAAGAGGCAAAUAUUAGGAAAGAAUGGGAGCCCUCUACCAGCCAUUCAAAUGUUUUAAUACAGUGACAUUAAGAUUCAUUACUUCAGUUUGCCAUUAAUCAUGCCAAUCAACAGGAUGUAAAAGUGAGUGUUCUCCCUUUAAACUCCCCAUGAAAUUCACAUUUCAUUCGCUGAGUACUGUCACUACUCAUCUCCAUGGAAACAGUUGUGAUGGGAAAAACUCACUGGUAUAUUGUAUCACCAAGUGAAUCAGACGAGACUAAUUAAAGACAACUCUUUCUAAAUAUACAUACAGCCUGCAAACCCAGAAUACUGAGAAAAUAUUUUCAAAACGGUCUUACAGGCAGAGUUUUAUUAAAACUAGUAGGACAGUCUCAUGGACAGAUGCACAGGAUUACAGUAUACAGUACCCCUAUCAAAAACCUUCUUUACUUAAACCACAGCAGCUCAAAAUCUCUUGCUGAUAUAUAAGGUCUGUGUAUAUAAUAUUUUAAAAGGCAGAUGGCAGUUAAGACCAUUUAACCACUACAAAUUUGUACAAAACUAUUCAUACAGUGUACUUCGCAAACCUUCCACAUACAAUAAGUCUCCCACAUUUUUUAAAAUUCUUGAAGACAUCCCAUGAUAUUUAUUACUAAUAAAAAUUGCAAAUAUACUGUAGAAACAAACUCAUAAACAGGAAAUAGGCCCUGGGUGUGAUUACAAGAGAGAGCUGCCAAGAAGUGCCAUCCAUACAGACAUCCUAGCUUUUCCCCUGGAUAUCUUCACAGCUACCUCACUGUUCUUUAAGCCAUUUACUUACCAAUUCCUGUGGUAUUCAUAUAGAUUCAUAAAAUUCACUAAAUAUGAAAGGGAAUGAACUAAAAAAAAAAAAAUCACUGUAGAAAUCUCCUAUUACAUUAUCUCUUUUUCAGUUUAAGUAGUCACUCAGCAUAUUAAGGGUUUACUUAGGGAUGAAAGAUAUUCCACAAUUUCAAGCUGACAACCAAUUCCCAAACAGCUUCAUAAGCAUUCCAUUCAUAUUUUUGUUUACAUAAUAAUCAAAAAUUAAAUUUUAAAACAACAAAAAUAUAGAUUUUUUUCUUUAAUUAAUAUAAGCAUUAAUGUAGAGCAAGGAAAAAGUAUCUUUACUUAAAUUAAAAAUGACAUUAAAGUUACAAGACAUUUCAAGGUCCAAAAGGAAAUACAUAAAGUUAGGAGAGAGGGAAGGUGCCUUACACAAAGAACCUCUAAUUAAUGCAGCCUAGUUCCUAAUUAAUGCAGCCUAUUUCUUAAAUGCAGCAGGACUUUGACAACACCUCCUCAAACACAAGCCACUAUCUCUUCUGGAAAGGGCUUCUUACCUCAGGCCCGGACCCAGCCUAAUGCAAUGUAUUGAUCCCAUAUCCUGUGCUACCUUGGACUUACCUCAUCUGCCACUUUCUGCGCCACAUUUCAUUGUACAGCCUAAACAUGUCCUUACACACCUGUAGAUAUUUUUAAACACAUCCUAAGAAAACCAGGCAUUUUAGAUUAAUGCAUUCAUAGCAGCAAAAUGAAAAGUCACCUCCAAUUUAAGUUAUAUGCUAUCAAAAAUAUAUAUUUGUGCUUCAUAUUAAUAAAGAUGAUACUACAGAAUACAGUAUUUACAAAAAAAUUUAUAGUGUUUGGAAUAUGACAUAUUCAUCUGAUGCAAGACACUAAAUUUUCAUAUCUAAAGUUAUUUGAUACAAAUUUUGUGUAAAUGGAAGCAAGUUGUUCAAGUAAUACAUGUGCUUCAAAUUUGACAACCAGAAGAAAAGACUACUGUAAGAUUAUUUUUCCUGCUACCGUGUCAGAAGGGAUUUAAACCUUUUCUGCAUGACUUACUGUCUUCUUCACUCAAAAUUUUAAAUUCCAUUAAUUUAAAUGGCUCUUUUUAUCAGCUCAAAUGCACUCUUUACAAAUAAUGCAAAAAACAUACAGUUAUGCAAAAUAAAAUAGCUGAUUUCAUAACUGAAAAAAAUUCAAAACAAUUACCAAUGACAAGUGCAACUAUGUUUUGCAACAUCAGCAUAAAGAAGUACUAUUCAGAAGCUUCUUAAAAACUAAGCAUAGGUUAUCUAAGCAAAAAUGUGUCAAAUUACUAGGAAGAUAGAGUUACUGAAAAGAAAAUGAAUAAAACUGUAUUUGAACAAAAAGACAACAGAAUAACUGGCAUCUUAAGUGCUUCCCAUUCAAUGCAAAACAAGGCAUUCAGGAAGACAGAAAAUUCAUAAGCACACAAAGGAAACAUACAGGAACGCAGUAUGAUAUAAAUGGGCAAACUCUCACAGCCAGGAACCACUAACCAAAAAAACAAUCAAUCCAAAGUAGUUUGUUUUUCCUUCUAACAGUCUCAAAACUAACACAUGACAUUUUGGCUUGAUAUGGGGCCUAUAUGCUAAUGUCUUACAAAAACAUCAAGUUUGUGAAGAAGUAAAGAACCUUUGAACUUCAAAACACUUCUGCUGUCAUCUCUGCUUGUCAUGGUGCUUAAGUGACUUGUCCCAGUCACUAUCAGGACUGGGACAAGGACAGUAGAAAGAUGUAAGAUCUGAUGAAAUAUCAAGAUUUUAUGUUCUUUUUAAUAUCAAAUUAUGAUUGCAUGAGCUGCAAAAUUAGCUCAUUUAAUUCUGAUUUCUGUAUUUUCUGACUUUUCUAACAUUAAGUAUUAUGCAUAUUUACUAUGUACAACAAUUUAACAUGAAUGCAUGGCUCAACAGAGUUACCCUGUACUGUUAAACAUGAUCUUCUUAAAGAAUAUUCAUUUCAAAGUGAAAUAUGAGCACAAAAGAAAACAAACAAACAAAUAAAUAACAAAAAAAUAUUAAAAAUAAACCAGUCCCCAACUAAGGAACAACAGUAUGCAGAAAGCUGUUUAUGACAUUGUUAUCCUCCCAGAAGCCAACUAUUUUGGAUGGUUAUGCAAAUGCAUCAUAUUUCUAAGAAAAUACUUAAAAGAGCCACCUUUUGCUUGACAGAAGUAUGAAUCACAUAAAAAUUGAUGAUCCUCUUCUUUACAACCCUAAUAAUUUUCCACAUACCUUAAUUUUAAUAAGAAAUUCUCCUUGCAAAAAAAAAAAAAAAAAUCCAAAUUUUUUAAUAUAACUGAAAUACUAAUGGUAUAAAAACUCACCAAACCUACAUUAUUAGAAGCCAUGCACAACCCAAUGCAAUAAUGAACCACUGUAUCUCUAAAAAUGAGUCUCACCAACAGUUGCACUUGUAACAUUUUUAGCUGUUCAGCAGUAGUUGCACAGAGUUCCAUUUUUGGUAAACACUUGCAUAAAUCAACAGACUGAAAAUCAGAAACUUAAGGAAGAAAAGUGGCAAACUCUAGUUAAAUGGAUCAGAACAGAUUUUAAAAUAACUAUUUCCUGCAAAUUCCAGAAGUUUGAGAUAUACUACUACAACCCCAAACUCAUGGGAGUUAAUUUAGAACACACAGCAGUGAUUCUCAGGGAAAAGAAAUGAAGCUAGCCAGUAAAUUGUUUCCUUCUCUCAUCUUGAAAAUCUAGAGCAGUUUGCCCACGUAAGUACUCCCUAAGAGAUCAACAACUGCAGUAGGCCAGUGCAAUGCCAAACAGCCCCAAAACAUAACCAUAUUUUCAUCUUACUGUUUAUAGAUAUCAUGUAAGACCUUCAAGUCAGCAUCCACCUUUAUUGCUUCAUUUUACACAAGCAAAAAGGGAGUUCUGUGCUGUAUUUUUCUUGAUCCCUAACAGCUACAAGAACCAUCAUGAUUUCUUGAACAGUCUUUUCCUCAUACACAAAGCCUACAUGCAAUAUGAGAUAAAGACAUUCUCAUUAUGAAGUGGUAUCUCAAAUUUUACAGUAUGCAAGUUAGCACCAGCACCAAUUUUCAAGAAUUCUCUCUGUGCCAAAAUUCUGACAUCUGGCAAGCCUACAGCUUACUUAAAACAAACAAGUAAAAUCUAAAUCUAAAUAUAUGUGUACACAUAAACAUAUACACAGACACAGAACCAUAACAAUAAUACCUUACAAGAGAGAAUCUGGGACAAGUUUAAUGAUCCACAAUCAAAUAAAUGAUUUUGGUUAUUUCAAACUGCACCUAAAGCUUUUUCACUCACUUCUCAAAAUCAUGUAAAACACAGACAUAAAAAUAGGUACCUUCACCCUUCACAAUCAAUCCAUAUAGAAAGCUCUAUUUAUAUUUGUUGCAGCCUCUGUUUUAAUAAUGAUGAAUUACUCAAUUGAUAAGUUGCCAGCAAGGAAGACUUCCCAUUAUUAGUCAAGUAACAUCCUGACAGUGGCAACCAUUAAGCUUCUGUAGAAAUACAGCAGAUCACAUCUACCUUGCAAAUUCUUACAUUGCAUUAUCUGGGUAUCUAAAGAUACUAUGUCUAUAUAGUAUGAAAGCGAGUUUGUUUUGUAUCUGCUGUCACGUUUUGGUAAGAUGAUGCAAAAGCAUCCAAACAAACCCCAAAACCACAUCCAAAAUUUUGUGGCAGUCUUGUAGGUUGUGGCCCAUUAACCUCUUUUAAAACUGCUUGAAACAAAAUAUUAUUCUACUAUUCUUCCUCAUCCAAAUUCUGUUCAAUGUUACGUAUUUCAGUGAGGAGAAUAUAUACCAUACCAAAUACCUCAAAGAGGUAAAAAUGCAUAUUUUAGCUCAUGUCAACAUAUGCAUUGCUUGCUUAAAAAAAAAUUACAGAUUACAAGGAAGUAGAGAUUAAUAAUUAAGAAGCUUAGCAAAGGAAUAAAAAAUUAUGACACUAAAUAAACUACAUAGGAAAUAAGACUGACCUGUCAUAUCCCCCAAUCCUGCUUCUGAACUGGUUUAAGGGGGAAGACAUAAUAUCAUUGUCCUCUUGAGACCAUCCACCCCAGAAAACCUCUCAUUCAAUGAACCCCGAUCAUGGACAAGGAAUGGAGAGAAAAUGGCACCCAAAUGGGUGUUUUAGGUAGUAUUCAGGAGCAAAUGUUUCAUUUCCUUCAUUCUUAUAGAACAGGUACUACCAAACUGAAAGCACCUUUCAGUUCUAGGGAUCAGAGGUUCAAGGAAACAAAGCAAUGAUGAAAACUAGACACAUGUUGGAAGGAAGCAACAUAAUAUAACAAAAUACUUUUUCCUCAAAGGAUUCUUUGAACAAGGCAACAGAUUGAAAAAAUCCCCUGGAUCAGAGAAGUCAUGAAGAAUACAGGUUUCUACUUGAAACAUUAGGCCAUCUUAUGAGUGGAAAGAAGAGAAGAGGACAGGCAUGACUAGCUGAACAAACAGCUAGAACAAUUUCUAGAAUAUCAGACUAAAAAGGCAUAUCUCAGAAGUGAAUCUAGAAGAGUAGAAAGGAAAUGUCUUAACAUCAAAAAGUUUCCAUGGGAUGCAGAGAGAAACACACGUGGGCUGCUAUCUUUUUCUUUGGCAGAUGUUCUCAAACAUCAAGAUGAAGUAUUUAGUGUUUUGUGAAAAACCUGUGGAAGACAAAUUUCUGGCACCAAGCAUGAGACAAAACUCGAUUCAUUUGCAAUUUUUUAUUACAGCUUCUGUUCUGCUUCAAAAUCACUUGUUUCUGAUAAAAAGCUCUCCGAUCCAGCAUGCUUAUUUAUGUGGAACACAUAUCCUUGAAAGAAUCACCAAGUACCCAGAGCUUACACACGCAUGUUCAGCAACUGUUUACACUUUUGUCCAAUGGAACAGCUUAUAAAUAUAUUUUUCCCACUUACAGCUCAAAGAUGAUUUACCUUUGGUGGGCAGCCAAUGUGCCUUUCAUAAAAACUAACAAAGUUCGUCACACAUUCUGAAAUUCUUACAUACCCCACAUGUUCCUAGGAUUCACCAUCACUAAUGAAUGAGUGGCAUAAUUCCACAGUGGAAGUUUUCAAAUUAAAAGAAUUAUCUCAAGAGAUACUUCACUUGUCUGUAUUUCAGAUCUAACAGGCAGACAAAGCAACAUACAUUUAGACUAGGUUUUACAAGGUACAAUUCUAAAAUAAACUCUCAAUGGUAAUUGAGUACCUUUAAAAAUCUCAGUCCAACUUCCAAGUUUGGUACUACUGAUCUACUGCUAAUCAUGUAGCCAUAUAAUUUUCUACUGACUUUUCUAAUUACUUUUAUUUACUAUUUUUUAAAACUAGUGUUACCCCAAAGGGAAAACCAGAAGCCUUCAAGAACUAUUUUAGGUUCUGAAUAAGCAAUUUGUUUUAAACAUAUUUUUACUACUGUACUUCAAACUGUUGUAAGCAGUCCUGAUUAACAGGACAAAAGGUGUCGUGACUGUACCUGUUCCACCAAUAGGGAGGAGAUCAGUGGGGAAAAGACAUCCAUUAUAUACCAAGACAGCCAACAGCCAUUACCAUGUACCAAAUCACAUAAUGAAGCAUCUGUUCUUAGAACUAUUCAAAAAGUAAUUUUGAUGCAUCUUGGAACUUCCAAUGUAUUUUCAGGGCCAUUUAGAGCAGCUAGGUAUUGCUAGGUCACAAGCCUCCAAGGAAUAUUCCUCAAAUACCUAGAGACGUAAGCAGGAAACAAAAGACACUAGAGAACAGAAUUCCCUUCAAGGAGGUUGUCUCUUCCUGUCAGAUAAUGCAGAUUCUAACAUCUUUGUCAAGGUAUUCAUCUGGCAGGGUGGAAGAGACACCGGCAUUCCAAAUACAUAAACACACUUCUUGACGUGCUUUUCAUGCCUACAUUACCAAGGAACAUUCCACUCACUGAUUAAGGCAUUCAGGAUGGUCAGGCACACGCCAGAUUGAUGUGGUACAGUUCUGUACCACAGAACUUAAUCAUUUUCUCUCAGGAUAUGUGUAGAAAUAUAGGUCUUUUAAAACUUGAUCAGAUGAAGGAAGUAAUUUGGAGCUUAAGGGUUUCCAUGACAAGUUUUUUUGUCUCUUACUGUCUUAGGUUGUAAUGCAGUAUGUAACCAAAAGUAUAUAUUCUAUCACCAUCUGUUCAAACCACGUGGGACAGCAUUCUUUAUCUCUUCCCCAACCCAUCCUCCCUUCAGGAGAUAUCUUCUGUUAAUGGGCCAUUGGGUCUCAUUGCAUGAAUGAAAAAAUUACAUCAUACCAUUGUAAAAUGCUCCACCCAGGGAGAAGAGCCAAGCAUUCCUACCUGGAUAUAAUCUGAGAUUUGGAAUGCCACAGGCAGCCUUUUUCCACUGGAUUCCCAGAGGAAGACCAAACUCUUCUACACCACCACUGGACCUUCAGAAGAAAACUACAUCCUUCUAUAGGAUCACUGCUUCUACAGAACCCCAUCUGUGACUCCAGGAGGACUGCAGCCACCAUUUAUUCGGACUGCUACCAACAUCCUGACCAGUAAGGUGUCAGGCUGUUUUCUGACUCUAUCUGUGGUUUUGUACUACUGCAUUUUAUUUUAAUUUUCCUAUUAAAACUGUAGUUCUGACUUAGGAUCUCCCACUGGUUUGCUUUCAAGCCAGUAGAGUUAGUUUGAAGAAAUGGCUUUCAAAGCCAAGGAAUAAAGUCAUGAGUACACUUUGUAACUUAAUUUCAGCAGAAAUGUCAGCUUAGAGUGUCAAAUUCUUGUCUCUUGCUCUCACCUUGAGUGCCCCUUUUGCUGUGCCAACAGAACAAUUUCUGCAGCAAUUUUAUAAACAAUAGAUAAGUCAAACAGAAUCACAAAACCAUCAAACAAUCAUGAAGGAUACACUAAUCUAACUUACAUUGCAGUUCCACAAACUGCUGUGCUGGCACAAACAGGGAGUUGGACUUGGUAUACAAACACCCAGUAAAGGAGAGGGAGAACAACAAUUGCUACAAAAGUAAACAUCCUACUUUCCUGUUCAAUCUUGCUGAUUUCAAUGCUGUUUUAUCUUUGAGACAACUCCUUAUCAAAUUUCAAGCAAGAAUGAAUACCUUUUAAUGUAAUAAGUAAUACAGGAUACAGACAAUAGCCCAUAAACCUUGUAAUUAGAAAAAAAAAUUGAGUUAUAAAGCUGACUUUACCCAGUGCGGGAUAUAAGAAGCAGGGUGUGAUAUUAAAAUAUGACUCAGUGACCCAGGGGAUAUUCUGUAUAAGGUAUGUCAUGUAUGCUUGGCAAUUCAGAGCAGAAAUUCUAAUUUCUAUACCAACAUUAACUGUGCCUGGUUCAUAUCCCUGUUGUACGAUUUCUAGAAGCAUUGCCAUUAAAAAAUUAGUCAUGCCUCUGGAACAGUUUGCAGGUUGUGAAGACUAAUUUACUAUCUGUAAUUAGAGCUUUGCCCAUGUUAUCAAGAUGUAACACCAGGCACAGGAAAACGAUCCUGGAAUAGGAAGCUUUACUUGUAAAGAUCUCUGGAAUAAAACAAUCCACUUAAAAUAUUACAUAAAAGAAAACAGCAUCUGAAAAAACUGUAAUUAUUUCAGGAAAAAAGGCAAUCUGAACAUGUCAGCGAACAUAGCAAAGGCUGCUCUGAACUCUUCACAGCUCCCUUGAAAGUCUAACAUCCAACAGCCACUCCUGUCUCUGCUCCUGCCAAGGUAAUGUUCCACAAAUCAGAAGUCCUUUUCUGUCCCUGCCAGCAAUUUCAGCGAAUGAAAAAGCAAAAUAUCUGGACUUGUUAUGUGUUUUUUUUUAACAUUAGAAGUUGAGAAAUGGAUCUAAGGGAGUCUGUCUGCUGCAGAAGGCCAGUCUGGGAAUUGCAAUGUUUUAAGUAUACCAAGAACAGUACAAGACACAGGCAAAGCAUAGCAACAAUAAAAAUGAUAGAAGCAUGUCAGAGAUAAAACUGAGUUAUUUGAUGGGGGUGGGUGGAAGUCCUUAUUCAAAAUUAUUCAUAUCACAAAGGCAAAUGCAUACGUAACUGCAAAUCAUCCAAUAACAUACUACUAAAAAUAAGACUUUUAUCAGUAGAAAAUUUAGUUGCCUGACCACAAGUGUCAAUAAAUAGCUAUUCAGCAUAACAAACUCAAUUUAUAGGGGAUUUAGGAACUUCAUUACAGCAAACUAUCUCCCUAAAAAUAACUUUUUCUUUUGCUUAGUGAAAUUUAAACUAGAACUCUCUCACAGCUUGUCCCUUGAGGGCUACAUAUAUGACCAUCUUUCAUACUGCAUGAAAGAAAUUUUCAACUCAACAAGUAGAUCUUCUUUUUCCUCACAGAAAAUGUAUACAGUAUCACUAGUGGAAUUUAAGCAGUAGAUGAUACUGAGGAAGGCAAAAUUCAACAAAAAUUCUACAUUAAGAAAAAAAAAAAAUUACUACUGCUGAUGACUGUAAAGUUAUGUUUAAAUAACCUCUCUGCUGGAAAGAAUAUCAAAGGAGUUGUGUUGUUAGAGUCAUUUUUGAAAAACAGCACACUUCUAGCAUUCUUAAUUUGCUUCCACAUAAUACACUUUCUGGCCAUGUAAAUAUCAUGGCUCCUAGAAGCACUGUUCAAUUUCUGCUUGGGCAGAUCUUCUUUUUGUCUAUAUAGAGAAUACCAAUUGAACCAAGACUUCUCUGUCCAUUACUGGCAGACAGGACCAAAUACAAGAGCUUCAGUUCAGUCUGAUGAAAGUCUCUAGUGCUCUUACAUCCAAAGUAUGCUUGUUCUAUGGGUGCUUCAGGCAUGGACAGGGAGUGGGCAAUAGUCAGAACAGGAACACAAAGUCCACUUUGGAAAACAAAGUUCAGUUUACUGUUAUGUUCUACAAAGAUAAAUCAAUAGCAAGUUCCACUUCCACUUAAUUCCACUUCUUUUAAUGGAUAAAUAACAGUCAUAUCUUAGGAUUUUAAGAUCACACAUUUCUAUUCGCAGAAAGAUUAAGUAUGGAAGCCAUUGAUCCUGAAAGAGAAUUCAAUAGUUGAAGAAAGAAUAUUUAGAUUUUAUUAAGGGGCAUUAAUACAUUGCCACUUAAAGCUGAAACCUCCUCCAUAAUGCUUUUUUCUCAACUACUAUGUUUUCAAGUCUAAUGAUAAAUGGUACUAUUCAGCUCAAACAGUAAGUUCAGACAUCAAGCCUGCAGAGGUAAAAUGAUGUUCAUGACUGACUAGAAGUACAAGUGUAAGAAGCUGCGUAAAACAUCCUUUCCAAGUCCUUCACCUUGAUAGGAGUAGGAAGGUUUAUUGUGGAUAUUCUUCCAAAUCCUUUUUACUUUGUCACAAUUUGUUUGAUUAUAGACAAGCCAUGUAAAAACACUAAGCCACAGAGAGUUCCAUUAACAAAGCAAAUCCUAAAAACAUUCUCCCCUCUGCUCUUCACAGUAAUUUGAAACAUGCUUAUCCACACAGUUAGGGAUAGGAUGCUCUCUUUCUACAAUAAGAUGACAAGAGUAGAAUAUACAAAAAGAAACAGGCAACAAAGAAGGAGAAUAAAAGCAUCACUCACUGACAAGACUCAGGAAGACUUGUUUUGCUGAACAUAAACGACAACAACAAAAUAUACUAUGGGUAUUGUUAGUGAGAAAGGAAGUUCAGGAAAACAAGAUUCUUCUGGUGGAUGGGUAAAAACAGCCCAGUGAUAGUGAUGCAGAAAAGACUGAAAUGUCUCAUUUUCCCCUGUUCCAUACAAACAAAGCUUCCUCCCAAAAAACUGCAGGUACUGACAGGGUUUGGGAAAGCACAGGGAAACUAACACUGUGGGAUCAACUGUUUUGGAAUACAGUGUGGCUGUAUUCACACCCUUGGGGCUAGAAGGCAUUCACCUAAGGUAGCUGAAAAGGUUGGCCAAUGUGAUUAGAGAUUGCAAACAGCUACCAAAAAUUCUAACAGCUGAGGUGUUUGAGGUGUCCUAAGGCUUCAAAAAAGGCUAAUUCCUACAAAAGGUGAAGAGACCCACAGAACAGGCCAGACAACCUGAACUACAAAGUACCAAAGAAGCCCACAUAGAGCAUGCACUCCUAGAGUCAAUUUUCAAACACAAGAUGGACAAUAAAGUAACCAGCAACAGACAAAAUUGUUUUACCAAGGUCAGAUUAUCAACCUGACUGCCUAUUUUAAUGAUAUGACUACUUAGGUAGCUAAGGAAAAAACUAUUGAUUUCAUGGAACCAAAUCUCAGUGAGGUUUUUUGGAACCAUCUCAUACAGCAUUGUCUGGAAGCUGAGAAGCACAGAGCGGAAGAGUAAACUGUUAGGUUAAAAAUGAAGCAUUCUGCCUAGAUCAAAAAGCAACAAUAAAUGAGUCAAUAUUCACUUAGCAGCUUGUAAAGACCAGAAUACCAAAAAGGUUAAUAUUGGGGCCCAAAUGGUUGAUUUUAAACUGUGUUGUGUUUCUUUUUUCAUUUGGGUUUUUUUUUUUAAUUAAAUCAGCACCCUGAAUGAUGAGACAGCCUACACACCUAGGAAUUUGUAGAGAGCAUUGCAGAGUAGAGUACCUAAUCUGAUCAAUGCCAAAGCUUCAACCCAGAGAACUCAAGAACCUGAGGACUAAGCAAAAUAAGAAGGGUGCCCAACAGAUCCAGGCAAGUUACUGUUCCUUCCUACUCUGCAUCUGGAACAGUGUGCAUAGUUUUGGAUCUCUAGCUGAAGAGUUAUUUUGAAAAAUUAGAGAGGGUCUAGCAGAGACCACCAAGAUGGCCAGGGGCUCAGAGCAAAUGCACAGAUUGUGGGAGUUGAACUUAGUCAACCUGGCAAAGAUGAAGCUGAAAUGCUACCUAGUAGCAACUCAAAACUAUCCAAAGUGUAAAUCCAAAUUAUUGCAACAGCAAUAAAAAUGCAGCUUGGCUAUUCAGAUUGAGCACAAGACCUCCAGAGGUUCUAUCCAAACAAUUUCUAUGAUUGCGUAUGACAGCUCAUUGUUCUACAAAUUCUAGAGACAACGAUGACUCAUUUUUUAAGACAGACAGAAUUUUCAUUUCUACAAAUGUAAACUUGGGUGAAGUUACUUUAAAAGCCCUCCCAUUAUUAAAGAACUCAGUCAUCCAAAGUAAAUAUCUUAACGACACUUGAGCUCAGAAGACUACAAAGAGAUUUUUUUAAAAGCAAAGAAGCACAUUUGUUACUUGUUAGGAGUCCUUAUUUGUGUCCUGGUUUCAUCUGGGACAGAGUUAAUUUUCUUCUUAGUAGCUGCUACAGUGCUGUGGUUUUGAUUUAGAACAAAAAUAUAAUGUUGAUAACUCACUGAUGUUUUAGUUGUUGCUAAGUAAUCUUACUCUAAAUCAAAGAUUUUUCAGUUUCCUAUGUUCUGCCAGUGAGGAGAUUGAGGAGAUGCACAAAAGCUGAGAGGGAGCAUAGCCAGGACAGCUUACCCAAACUGGCUAAAGGAAUAACAUCUCAUUGAAGCUCAUGCCCAGUAUAUAAAUUAGGGGGAAUCAUCUGGGACAGGCUGAUCACUGCAGGGGGACAGGUAGUGUGCCAUUGUUUUGUGCAACACUUGCUUCUCUUCAGUUUUAUUCCAUUUGGAAUAAACAGGAGGAAUUUAUUCCUAUUGGUAUGAAUAAUAUAGAAGGGUUAAUGGUGGGGGGGCUGUUGAGAUUUGACAGCAAUAGUUUAUCAGGGUGGGCCUUGGAGAGAAGCCAAGUAGGAACUAUUAUGGCAUAGAUUGUGCUUUUCUUGUCUUUGUGUUUUGUUUUGGGAGGACUGGCAGUUGGAUUCAAUCUUUAACCUUAUUAUGGGGUAAUGGUUUGGUGACGGCCACUGCUGCAGGGCCGGGUGGUUGUUGAGUUUAGCCUCCUUUGUAUCGUUAGUGUUACUCAUGGGGGUUUUGGGUGGGACAUUAUUGGGUUUUGUUAAUUCUUGUAUCUUUUGCCAUAAUUAGUCAUAAUUAGUAUUAGUGUAUUUUAUUUUGUUUCAGUUAUUAAGCUGUUCUUAGCUUGAUCCAUGAGGUUGCUUGGGUUUUUUUUCAGAUUCUGCUCCCCAAAGCAGGGAGAAAGGAGGGGAAAGCGAGCGUGCAGCUGCAUGGAUACUUUGUUACUGACUCAAGUUAAACAUUAAGGUACUUCACUAAAUAGACGAACCUGAGAUCUGCAAGAAGCAUCAAUAUGCUCUGCUACAUCAUGACCAAAUUCCACUGAGACCUUUUCAUAAUCACUGACCUUAAAAUUACUUUAAAAACAUGCAAAACACAUAGCAGCAAAAAAAUAAAACUUCAUUAACAGAGAAGUUACUCAGCACAUUUAGAUGGGCUUUUCCAGAAUUUAGAGGAAACAACUGCUGUAUUUUAGAAGAAUUUGCUUAGACUCAAAUCAUUGGUGAGUAUUCUGUCAACUGGUCAGAGGGACAACAGUCAAGAGGUUUGAACAAAAGGCAAACAGUAUUGCAUUAGAGAAGCAACAAGACAUGUUCCUGUACCCUGAAAAGCUACUGAAAACAGCAUGCACUUCUGUCCUCAGAACUCUAACAAAGCUGAAGGAAUAAAGUAACAAAAAUGUACAACUGUCAUCUUUUUUUUCUUAUGGACAGUAUUGUAUCAUUGCCUCUUACCAUCUUUAAACUAUUUUCAUAUACGCCUUUACAAUUUUUAUUUAAAAAAUUGCUUCAAAAAUCUAAAACGUGCCAAAGGCAUUAUGAGAAAAUUUUUACUUUUAAUACAAGCACAUCUUUCCAAACUCUUUUGACAUCAUCUGUCAGACUAAUUCUAAAAUUCUAUGUAGAACUCUAAAAUUCUGAGCAGAACAAUAGCCUGUGUUUUUUUAAACCAAAGCCCUUCAUCUGACUGCAUACUCUAGACCUGUUCCAUGCAUUCAAGUUGUCCAUGGCAGCACUACCCCACACUGGUAAAAAAAAAAAAACAAAAACAAAAAACCAGCAAAAUAAACCCAAACCUUCAAAACAGACUGUAAAGCAAAAUGAAUGUUAUUUGUUCAGCCAGUCACUUGCAUAGAACUGCAAGCUGCAAUUCUUCUUGAAAAGCAUCAGCUCCCUUUCACAAAACUACCUACAGCCUGCCAAAUUUAGGAUGGGAAAAUUUCUUACAAUGCAAGAACCAGACCAACUUCGUUAUCACUGAUGGGGAAAGCAUACCUUGACAACAGGCUGAAUUAGUGGGAUUCUUGAGAGCAAUGUUCAAGUAAAAAUGCUGGAGGUUUUUUUUUUUUUUGAUAAAAUGUUUAUUUUGAAAAUACUUAAACCUCAUGUCCAUUGAAUAACUGCUAUCUACUAAAUUUUUUCUUUCCCAUGCCUAGAGAUCAAAACUGUAGUAGAAUGAUGGUUACACACAGCACAGGAAGCUUAUAUUGCCAAAAUCUCAAGGCCAAGAUUGGAAGCAGGGGAAUGGGCAUCAAGAAUACUGCCAAUCCAUCUAUUACUAAACUGGCAAGAAUUUCUACUACUUGAUGAAAAUAAAGCAGAACUCUUUUACCUUCUUGCCAAAAUUAAGGUGAAGUCUAUAGCAGAAGGCAAGAAGCCAGUAUUUACAGAUGGCCAAUGUGCUGGGCAACCCUGUUCUGGUUGAGAUCUGCAUUUUCCUGCACAACCCUAUCAAAGAAUGAUGCUACAGAUGGACUAAAUAAGCCAAGGUCUACCCUAGAGUUCUGAAAUUGAGGUAAAACAAAUAUAGUAGUUCAGGUUAUUAUUUAUUGACAGGUAUUUCAGAUGACAUAACCUGUAAGGGGCUGGGAUUGCUGAAGACACACUAUGCACACACCAGCCAACACCACAGGCCUUUCUGCCAGAUCCAGCUGGCAAUGUCAAAUGUCUCAUCAGCAUUUCACACCUUGGACAGUUAUGGCACAGAUUCUGCCCUCAUCUCUAAUGGCAAAAGAAUGCAUGGAAGAUGCAGGUGAUACUUCUGGCAUCCUUCAUUGUCACACUACAUUCUCACACUGCCUGCACCUUUUUCUCCACUUUUAUUGAAAAUAAUUUAAUAUUCAAAUAAAAUCUUUUGUUUGGGAAACAUAGUUCCCAGCUUCAAUUUCUCUAGCUGUUCUGCAGCCCAGAAUACUUUCUGGUUUUUACCCCUGAUUUUUGACCCUGAUACGUGACACUGUUUCUAAAAAACUCGUGUAUACUUUUAACUCAUAAAUAUUAAUGAAUAUAAAUGCUAUUAAUACGAAUCAUAAAUAAGAAGCACAGCUUGACAGCAGAGUAACACUGUAUGAGAAAUCAGGGUACUAAAUAAACUAGACAAAAGAGUUUACAAAUAGUUAGCUACUGAAGUAUUUUCUGACUUUUAUCUAAUUCUCAGUAGCUUUAAAACAUCAACAAAAUCCUAUUGUAAGUCAUUUGCAGCUAAUAUUACACCUUUGUUAUUUGCAUUGAAUUCAGAAGAUGUAUGUCUGUGAUAAUCUGAAACUGGAUUUUAUGUACCAUUUAGGGUGCAAAAUAUGCUCACUGUUUGCUCUGUAGUCCUGCAAUGCAGAUCACUUGCAUGCUCUGACCACAGAUAAUUACACAGGCAAACACGUGCUGUUUCUUUGCACUCUGCCAACUGUAUUCACUUGUUCCCUUCACCACCUAAAGCACAAUCCUGUGAAGACUUACAUAUUCAUUUCCACUGAGAGCACCAACAUGUUUAAUUGAAGUUAAUGGGAAAACUCACAACAAAAUGCUAAAUAUGUGUAAGUAUUAAGUCUUCACAAAGCUCUUCCACCCCUAAAUUCAGAACAUUUAAGCAGCAUUUUUUUCUAGUGUAAAUAUACUUAGAACAGUAUUUAAGCAUCUGUAAAACAAGUUAGACACUGAGAGUGCUUCCUAAUAAUUCUAAAUAUGACUUGCAUUGCAACAGUAGUUGGUGGUCCCAAGUAAGAUUAGGAUUUGUAGUCUAAAAAACAGACAAGACAAAGGCAAUUAAGCAAAAAGGGUUGUAUUACAUAAAGACUGAAUAAAGAGUGCCAUUUUUGCAUUCCUAAUAAUUUCAAUGUGAUGGUGCUAAUUAGAAGAUACUUCUGUAAGGAGCUUAGAAACUAACAUAUUAACAUUCACCAUUCAAUUUCUCCCAAGUAGUCCUUGCAUUCUAUUUCUGUCUUUGGCACCAAGUAUCCAGCCUAUUCUUACAGAGAAAUUACCUCCAAUGAUUCAGACAAUCCUAGGAAAGUGAACCUCAUUCACAACUAAAGACAAAAUAAAUACAACUGUUUUCAACCUAAUAUAUUAGACAAUUCCUCUCUAACCCCAAAUUAAUAACCCUGAUCUCAAAACUAAGAUUUAACCAACACUGAUAAAGUUCCAGCUCCCUGAUAUCAUGAACAUUAGUUAUUAGUAGGUGUUAUGCCCUUAGCAAGUUGAUUCUCAACAGGUUUUUUUUUAGGCUUGCCUUCUUACUUUUGCAUUUAACUUGACAGCCUCUCUGAUCUAUUUUCCCCACUCUACAUUAAAUCCUUUUAUUACGAACAGCUUCCUUUCUCCGCAAGUUUCUACAUGUCACCUUUAAUUUUUGGUCUGCUGAUACUGUAUCAAAGCCCGGGCAGACAGAGGAGUACUCGGCAGUCCUUGCAGAGUAGCGCUCACGAUGGCUACUUGCCAGUUCCAUGCUGGGGGAAGAAGGAGCGCUCCACACCCACACAGCUUGGUUUCCACAGAACAGAAAUGCAGGUACACAGGCUACAUGGGAGAUGCAAGGCACAGUAAUGGCCUUCUGAUCUAGAUAAAACCAACACUAAUAUAUUGCACCAUUUGAAGAAGCUAGAGGUCAGCCAAUUGAAGCCUUUUCUUUUGCAGCCCACAUUCCAGUUCCGAGUCUCAUACAAUGACUUUAAACAGAUUGCACAGCAUCACAAACCAUUCAGCUGCUCUUUCUGACUUCCCUUUAGCUAACUGCCUCAAUUCAUAUAUGCUCAGUCUGACUUUCUGAUUUUUUUUCCCUUCUUAAGCAAGCUGAAGUUGACUAAAAAUUACAGAGUACACCUUCUGUAAUUAGCAGACCGUAAGUAAAAUAUUACUUCUCCUCCUACAGUUCAUCAUACUGCUUCUUCCUAGAAGCACUCACUUAAGCAUCUAGAAUUCUCUUUGCAUUCUGCACCAAUGCAAUCUUGACUCGGACUGCAUGGGAAUAACCCAAUUUCUUUUUACAACUACUUUUUCUGCAUGUUUCCCCCAAGAGUAAUUGUAGUGGGUGAGGGAGAGGAUGUGAGUGAAAUGAGACAUUAUUGUUUAGGUUGAUGCUGGUUUAACUUGAAUAAAGUAGAAAACAUCAUCACUCAUUUAAUGUUAUGAACUUCUAUAACACUUUUUAAAACUCAGAAGGGUUUUUUAGAAUAUCUUCUACAGAGAAUAUGACACUAUGAAUAGCACAUUAAGCAGCUCAUUGACAUCCGCCAGCUGCCACUCAGUCUUUACCUUUGACCAUGGACAUUGCAUGGAAAAUAACAGUUGAGUGUUAUUUACAAAAAUAAACCGUUUUCCAUAGGGAAAAAAAAAAGGUUUUCAUAGAAACAAGAACAGUAUAUUAAGAAAUUCAUACAGAUCUUGAGUCAUUAUUUAAAUUUUUAAAAUGCAACAUGUUGGGAGCAAAAAAGUGUCAGCAGUUUCGUAUUUUGCCAACCUCAAGAAAAGCAUGCAUAACAAAUUCUGCAAGGAGAAACUAGAGCUAGAACACAUGGAGUAUAGGCCUGGAUUUGCUCAUUAAGUUUCUGUAAAAUAAUAAAAACAAAAAGAGUAUCCAAUCCCACAGCAUGGUUUAUAAUCCCUUACUGCCCAAUCAUAGAUCAAACCCAGUAUUUAGUUUUGGAGGAAAAAAAAGUUCAGCUGCUUACUUUCAGCUGACUUGUGCUGGAGUAUCCAAUGAAAUUUUUAAUAGGAACCUUUCUUUUUUAAAUUUAAUUUUCACCACUUGUGCAGAGACCUCCUUGCCUCUUUCUUCAUGGUGCAAUGUCUUGUCAUUUACAACCCAUUGUUCUUUCUCAUUUUACAUUGCAAGCUGAUGAGAUGCAUUCAGUUUUGGUCACAUAUCUUUUGACAGCAUAGUCCUGCAACUCCACAUCCUGUUCUAAAAUAAUGAUUAACAGAAUGUGUCACAAUCAGCAAUCAACAGCUUAGCAGGACUGAAAUAGGCAAGCCAUUACUAUGAAAAAGCAGAGCAAAAAACUAUUUCACAUAUUGAAUGCACACACAUGCUCCACCAAUUUAUUGUAUUUCAGAAGAAUGUUUUUUUCUGGAUGUGAACUGGCAGUAAGUUUGAAACAUUUUGUACUAGUCACUGUCCACUAGUCAAUCAUGAAAAAUAUUUAUAUGGCUUAAAUGAUGUCCCAACAAAAAGAAAGCAAAUACAUAUUUGAAUCCUCUGUGUUUCUACAUUCAGAACAGUUCAUUCAGUAAACUGAAUUUCCAUGGCUGAUAGAAUAAAUGAAGUGCCAUUUGUCUGCGAAGGGAUGAACUUGCACAGAAGUCCUUUCCUUGCUGGAUAUUCCUUCUACCUUUCUUUGCUGGAUAUUCCUUCUACCUUUCUUUGCUGGAUACAACUUUCAAUACUGCUAUUUCUCUUUCAAAUUUGAUUGAAAAUAAUCAAAGAGCUCAAAAAUAAGGUAACAGUUCCCACUUGCAAAAGCCUCUUCCAUAGGAAACACAAGCUGAAAAAAAGAAAGACAUGCUGCUAAGUAGACAAAUAGCAAGAUUUUUCACAAAUAUAUACAUCUGAGGCUUCCUUAUUGAUCAGAACAUUACCUUUGAUAUACUUUUAAGUGAAAUUAUAGCUAUAAAAGUGUUACAAUUAUAGAACUAUAAAUACAUUAUCUAAAGAACUAUUGACUAAAAAAUCCUGAAAAGAUAUGUCUUCUUUGUGUUUUAAAGAGGUUAAAGUGAGACACAAGAAAGGGAAAAGUAAAAAUGCUAAGUAACUGACCCUAAUACCUAUUAGAACACGGUAGUAUGCAAUAUCGAUUCUAGUCUGAGACAAUACUGUAAUUACAUUUUCCUACUGGACACUAAGAAAAGAAAAAAUAAGUGUUCUCUGACCCUGGAUACUAGUUUCAUUUUUCUAGACUAAAUAGAGAAACAGAAAAUGUGUCACAUGCCCAUUAAACUAAAACAGGACCAUCCAACAAAGAGAUUACUUAUAUUAUUCAAUUUUAAAAUGGCAGGCUGUAAAACAGGAAUUUAUCCUAUUAGUGGAAGCUGAAAUAAUAAGUCAAAAUACAUGCUCAAUUUUUUUCAGAUGAAGAGGGAGACUUCCCAGAAGGCAAUACUCUCUUUCACAUUAAAAAACUGUACAUACAAGAACUCUGACUUAUUGACAGCUUGACUGAGAUACAAUGGAAUCAGAUAAACAUUAUUGUUAACUCACAUUCAGGCAAGAGGCUCAGGCUAACAAGCUGACCUCACCAGGAUUCCCUAGUUCCUGGGAAGUAAAAUUUCCCACUACAGUCUGUCACACAAUACUCAUGUUAUCUGAAACUGAGAUUCAGAAAUGUACCCCCCCCCCCCCAGUGUCAGUAAACAAGAAAUGUUUUUCAAGCUACACCUCUACUGAUGAUCAAAACAAUGACUUUCCAUACCUCAGGUAAACCUUGACAGAUUAACUGUUUAACAGAGCAAAAACCAAUAUCGAGCAUAAUAAAUAAAGCAAGUUAUUGCACUUACAGUGUUACAGUGUUUCAAAAAUCUUAUCUCAAAAAUGUUUUCAUUUGUGUUCUGCUCACAUGAAUGCUCUGUCACUCAUGAAGGAAAUGUUCCUCUUCAUGGUUUUGGUGUAGUUUUGGGGCUUUGUUUAUUUGGGUUUUUUUUCCCCUUGAAGCUAGUAUUCUGUGUACAAUGCACCUUUAAACAGAAAUCCAACAAUUAGCCUACAGGCUAGCUGGUCACAAAAAUAUGCAUGACCAAAACACCAUACUGUUUGCAGACCUGGGAGAAACUGCAUCCUCUGAGUAAUUUUCAAUUUCUUGAUUGGAUUUGAAUCAGUACACUACCACAAUUAUUCUUAACAUGUCAAGCCUGCUGCUAGGAAGGAGCUUGCCACAAAAAAUAUUUAUUCCCUAUAAUUAUGUAGAUUUCCAAUACUUACAGAGAGAUGAUUUUAUUACAUGUAUAGAAAAGAAUGCUUUGCAAAACUGGUAUAUCUAUUUCCAAAGAAAGAGCCCUUUUUUACUCACAGCAGAUCCCCACUAAUUAAACCUUAAAAACGUAAUGCUGCUUUAUAGGUCAAAUUUCUUUAGGAAGUUUCUUUGUUUUUUAAUCAUGCAAUUUUUGCUACACACAUAUUCACUGCACUCAUUCAUUAAAUACAGAGUCCUAAUUUUGUAAGUGAAGACUGCAGAGAGAGACCUAAAGAUUUUUUACCUACAUUUUGUUAAUGUAAAAAUAAGCAAGCCAGGUGAAGUCAGUCCCCUUUGUGCUCCAUUUUCCAAAUUCUGAUUAUUCCCACAUGCCAUUCAAGAAAUAGUGAUGUGUUAAUAGCACACUUGAAUUAGCUAUAUUCAGAUAAUGGGAAGCUCAUAGGGAAAUAGCAUAGAAAGAAGAUAAAAAAUACUCUAGUCCACUAGAAAAUGUUAUGGCUCAUGAUUUGAAAUAUUUAGGUUUGUACUAGUUUUUCUUCUUGUAUCAGUACUAAUCUGUAUAAUGAUAGUACUCAGCUGCCCUGUUUCCUAAGCACAAUAUAAGGCUGUAACAAAAGGUUUUCUAUGUUCAGUUUACAGUGAAUGAAGCUGAGUGAUAGAGAUCUUGGGUUAAAAUACAGCUAAUCUGAACUAACAUGUUUAUAAAAACUUGUGCUCACCUUAUUAAGGUCAAUUCAAUGAACAUUAAUUGUACAGAGUUUCUUCAAACACUUUCAGGACCCUUACAUUCUGGGAAAAUACAGAGCUGUUGAAGAGUAGGUCAGUAUUUACAGAAUACUGAAGAGCUCUUAAGACUUGCCCCUUACAAUCAUUGUGCUAAAAUGAACUACUUUUUCUUGACAAAAUGAUACCAGUGUCAAAAUAGGCACAUUUAGCAUAGAGAUCAGAUGCUGUGUUACACAGAAAAUCUGAUAACAAAUUUCCAAAACACAUGCUGCAAUUUUUAACAGCCACUACAGUGUUAAACAUUAAACAGUCUCUGAAAGUUCUAAUUAAGUGGGACAUGAGUUUCCUUGAGGAAGUCUUUAGUAUUUCUUCUGCUGUGUGAAUCUGUUAUAUGGACAGAUGUAUAGACUAAUAUUAAAAGGAGAGAUUAUGCUGCUGAAGCUUUUUUCUGCCAAGUUUUUUUUUAAACUAUACAGAUUAAAUAAUUACUUUUCCAUUAGUUCUCUUUUGAUCUCCAGAAAGAACAUCAUUACUUUGUAGACUUUCUUCACUCCAAUCCAGUAUUUUUGAGUAGAAGAUUACUUAUAAGAAAGUGCUUCUGUCCUUUCUUAAAAUAGAUUCUGAGUGGGAGCACAUGCCAUCAUGAUGCUGUAACUCAUCAGGAAAUUAUGAUGCAGUACCAUCUUAUUCUAAAGGCACCCGCCAGCUAAGAUAUGGACAAGGUCACAUCAGCACUUUUUAUAUUUUCAGGACUAUUUUCCUUAUCAGAUUAAAAGAAAUCCAGCAAACAAGCAAAAACACAGUAUGUUUUUACAAGAAGAAACAAACAAACAUAAAACCACCAUCAACCAAAGACCACAACAAAACAAAACAAAAAACCAACCAAACAACAACCAAAAAACCCCACCAAAACACAAAACCAAAAACCUUGACACCAGGCACUUGGAGUAACUUCAAUUUGAUUUUGCACAGAACUAUUGCUACCAAGAAAAUUAGAAUGGAAAUGAUAAUUGUGAAAAUACUAAGUGUACAUAAUCUUUAAAUGCAGUGAAUUACCGUGGAAUUAUUUAUCUAGGGAGGCAACAAACUAAGGGGAGGAGAACUGAUUUCAAAUGGUUUUUUCUUUCUUCUUUUUUUUAAUCAUAUAUCACAUCAACAAGGUUGUGGGGAAGACUGGUGGGGAGGGCAACCCAACAUUUUUUUCCUGCUUGCUACAAUCUUAAAGUAUACACAAACAUUUUUUAUUAUGAGAAGACAAUGAAGAAGACUGCAUCAGAGAAGCCAUGAAAGAAAAACCUUCUUAAGUAAAGCAGGCAGUUAAUUAUUUUGAUCUUCUUCAAAAAAAAUUUAUUAUUAUUUAACUUAAACAACUGAAAGGAACUCUAAUUGUCUGGCAGCUUUACUCUUUCAGGUGUACUAAUAAAGCAUCCAGGCUGAGUGACCCCAGAACUUUCUAACCGUUAAGAUAUUUUUACUUAAAUGGCAACAAAAAACAGUGUUCCUGCUACUGCCAUAUUCAAAUACUUGAUAAGCAUGAUGUUUUCUCAUCAUCUCACUGUCUGAACACUUGGCAGCAUGUAAUAAAAGUAUUUUUGCAUAUAAGCAAAAUUCAGGCCCUCAAGUCCUAUACAAAGUAAUCCAAUACACCACAGGAUUUCCUUAGAAAUAGAGCUGAUAAAUGCAGUUAAUUUUUCUGGUGGAAACUUUAAUAGAAGGCUGAAGCUGCACCAAGACACGCUGGGAGGCUCAUGUGCAAAGUAACACAGGUGACACCUGAGGCAGCAAACACAGCCCAUGGGAAAGGCCCAUGGCUAAAGGGGCUGUGUAACAGCACUGCAAGGUACACAAGGCUCUACAAAUGGCUUGGGACCCCCAAUGCAGAACUUCUCCUGUAGAUACAUACUGGAUUACAGAGACUACCACAGAGGCAAGGAACUUGGCUUUAAUUCCCCGUUAGCAUAUGGGGAUUCAAAGCCAUGAAUUUAUUUCCCAGAAGAGCACUUUAAUUAGGAAACUAAAAGGAUGGAUAGUAACAAGCUUCUUGUCUGCUAAAGCUAGGUAGCUACUCAGCUAAGAAUUAAAAUGCUAUGGCAUCUGGACAAUUAACAAGGAUCACACUGUAGUCUAAUAAUCAGGGUGCUCAACUGGGAGAGAAGACCUAGAUUCUAGUCCAUGCUCCAUGGACUAUUUCUGUUUUGUUACUUGCCCUUUAACAGGAGAAGAAAGCUCUAUGAUAGUUCAAAAUGCAAAUAUCUGAACCCUGUUCUCUUCCCUCCCACUGCAUGGUCCAAACUACUGAAGUUUCAGAUACCGAAGCAUCACCACAUUGAUGUGUCCCUUUGCAUCUAGCCUACAAAGCGUUACAGAUACCUGGUUUUGAUUGACUAUAUAUCUCUCUCUUCAGAAAUACAAGAUUUCAUAGAAUUUGGGCAUCCUUCCAGCCAUGAAGCUUUUUUUAAUUUCACAAGUGUGUAACUAGGCAUAUAGCUCCUAAUAGCACUGCUCCACGGAGAGAAUAAAGGCAAUGCCUUCCAUUUUACAGAAUAUUUAAAGCUGCUUCUACUUUUAAUACAGCAUUCCCUGGAGCCACCAAAAUAUCCCCAAAUUACUGGAUCAACACAAUAUUCUCUGCUCAGGGAACACACAAACUCUAGUAAAUCCACCUCACAAGUCUAAAACAAUGACUUAACACCCUCCUCUGUCCCUGACAUCCAUUAUCACACUAUAUGUUAACGCUAACCACCUUCUCUUGUCAGCUGCAGCUUUUCUUCCUUUUUUUUUUUUUUUUUGCAACUUGCAUCUUUUGGAUCAUGUACUAUUUUUUUGUCUUCAUUCAAAAAUCUUCAGCCCACCCUUAAGACAGACAAGAAAGGCAAUGUUCACAUAAGGUUGAUCAAUAUGAUAAAUGAAUUGUGAAAUGUUUGUUCAUUUUUUAAUAAACUGUUACAUACUUUCAAGUACCCCAUUAAAUUAAAACUACUGAAGCUUCUUCAACUUCCCAUCUCAAAUUCUUAUCCCUGGAGCAAGAACAGAUGCAGCCAGAAGUAAACACUCAGAUGUAAGAGGAAGUCAAAAUGUAUCAUUCCAUGUUUGUAAUUUCCAGUAGACUACUAGUGCCUCAGUAAAUUAAGAGGUUUGCAAACCUUAAUUACCAAAGGAAUACAUAAUUAUUACUUUUAGAAUACUCUUUUUAAGUAUCAUGUCUUCCCUUUAGUUUAAUGACUGCAUUUUAGGCCUCAUCCAGAAAGGUAAUGCUUUGGUAAUAUUAAUAUGACAGACAGUGAGGGAAAAUCCAAAGCCUGUUGACUCUCUUAGAGCAAAGUAUAAAAUGAAAAUAUAGAUUAUGAAAUUCUAAUGUACAGAUUACACUUCUCUGAAUUAGCUAAUUUGAACAUAGUAAGUUCAUUCAUUUAAAACAGAGUAGACAAACUGAGCAGAAUUUUAGCUAUUCAGCUAACAAACGCUAUACAUUCGUUUAAAAAACAAGGAACUAGAAAGAAUAAGUCUAAGAACAGAGCUCUGUCCAUUGAAUGCUUUCAACACAUCUGAUCCUGGUUACCUGAUAGGAAAAGGCUUAGUAAGAAACCAUAUUCAAGCACAGAAAAAUCCUAAAAAACCACUCUCUUUCAAAACAGAAAAACUGAAAUAAAAGUAUCAUGUAUGUUCUAAGAGCAUCUCUCAACUGCUGAAUUUUGUUUUUAUAAAUGAUAUACCUUUUUAUAAAUGAUAUGUUUUUAUAAAUGAUAUGUAGGCCCUUGAUACAGAGACUGUUAUAUACAUAUUUAAUAAAUGACAUUUCAUUUAAUACUCAAAUUGACUGUGUCCACUAGGGAUGUCUUAACUCUUAUAUUACAUUAUACAUAUUACAUCAAUUUCAGUUCUCCUGAAAUUCUUAAAUAACCAAUGGGUGGUUUUUACCUUGUAAGAUAUAUUUUAGAAGUCAGGCUAGAGUAGCCAAAGUUAAUUAUGAGUGAGUCCAAGCUAAUACAAGAAUCCAAGUUUAUUUCAGGACUUUGCAUAUCAGUUGAGUGCUGGCUCUUGCCCACAGAGACAUAAAACCUUUUUUUUAGCAUGUAGCCUAUGUUGCAUGUAAGUUUCAAGAUUACCUCUUUACCUGAGCAUUUGCAAAGUACUUACAUAAACAAAAGAAAUCUGUAUAACGUAUAAAUAAAAAGUAAUGUGUUUUGGCAGAAAGAACUUCAUGCACAGUGAAGAAUGUUAUCAGUCACAACCUAGUAUCUGAAAUUGCAUCUAAUAUAGAAUAAAUCACAGAACUGUAUCAAGCUGUGAAGUACUGUGAGCUUUAAACAUAUUUAAACCACAUCCUUACUCAAAUAUUCUCAUUUGGGCACCAAAUGAAAGAAUUUUCUUCAAUUACAUUCACUUACAAAAAUUUUUUAAAAACCAGUUUGUAUCUUAAGAUGUAUCAUCAAUGCACAGUAAUUGACAUUAGACAGUUGUAUAAUAGCCCAAGGGAACACUGUAAACAUAUUACAUUGACUUAAAUGGAACUUAGAGUCAGAAUGUAUACUUUUUUUCCCUUAUGAAGGAAACUCCUUGAAAGUAUGGAAGCUGAAUUUCCAUUUCUGAAUCCAUUGAAGGGACAAGAAAAGGAGAUGAAUCACCAAAGCUUUUUCAGCAACUACAAAAAGCUAGCACAUGAGACAAGUAAAAAUGGUACGCACCAAUUGUAGAAAAGCCAACAAUGUAAACAGACAAAAAAUGUUCAUAAAAGUCUUUCUUCAUCCUACAGGAUGUGUACCAGAUGGUGAAGUCAUACAGUGGGGCAUUGCUUCCUUGCACUGAUCUAUAAAUUGCCUGUAUUCCUGAACAAAGGGGGCAGAUAGAUUUGCAGAACAAGCUAUAAAGUUUCUUAUUGGUGGUCUUUGUCUGGUAGAAGGCCACAUACAAAGGAAAAUUAGACUUUUCUACCUGUCUGGCUAACAGGUACAAAAAAAUGCAGCAGAACACAGAGACCGACCGGCCUAACAAAAACUUUCUACCAGGAGAUGACUGGCUUGGUAAAUUGAGAGCAGUGGGUACUGUCUGGCUUGAUUUCAGUAAGGCACAUACCUUUCCCUCACUUAUUAAACCGUCUCUAUCUCAAGUGAUGAGUUUCCACACAUUUGGUUUUCUAAUUCUGUCCCUCCUCCUGCCUGGGGGCAGUGAGUAAGUCUCUAGGUGGAGGCUUAGCUGCUGCACAGGGUCAACCCACCACAAUAUUCUUUAGUGAUUUCUUUCAAUUACUUCCUUUGUACAGCACUAAAGCAGUACAUUCUCCAGAUAUAUCCUCCUGGAUAUAAAGAUCACUGGCAGCAAAAUGAAAGAAACACAGAGGAAAAAAAGCCUUGAAAGAAACAACCAUGGUCAAAACUGGUAAUAUUUACAAGCAAUUAUAGACAGAAAACACAUUCUUAUCACAGACAUUCUAAUACAGGAAAGAUGGACAAUGGGAAAAGCCUUUCACAGAGUUGCCUAUAAAGUCAUUCAGGAAUGUGAGGCAAAGUGGAAGAAAUGCCUUGUCAUCUGUCAGAUUUAAGAAAAAAAAAAAAGAAAGAAAUGAGAAAACAAAGGUAAUUAUGACUGUUGACCUGAUAAUGAAAUGCUGAGAUUCCGGGAGAUGUCAAUUCAGGUAAAAAUAAAAAAGUUUCAAGAAAAUAAGCACUUCACAUUUAGUAGAAAUUCUGUAAGAAAACCCUCAAUCUAGUUGUAUUCAAGAGGUUGACUUUUUCAUCUAACACCAAAAAUAGUCUGAAUGAGAUAUAUGAUGUAUUUGAUCAACAAAUUCUGUAUCAAGACACAUACAUCCAAAAAAAAUAAAUAAACAAGAAAACAAAACUGCUGAGAAAGAUUUCAAUAUAACUUGUCAUGUUACAGGCAACAAAAGAUUUUAGUCAGUCCCAAAGGAAGCAUACCUUUGUCAAUUCACAAAAGAAUAAAACUUGCACUAGAACAGAAAUAAAAGUCUUUUCAAUGCAAAAAUAGCAGAAAAGCACUAAAAAGCCAUUUCCAGUAUUUAGCCAGCAUAGUCUACACCAAAUACAACGAUGAAAAGUCAGACAUGGAAGAAAAUGACAGCAAAGGAAUCUGUUGGCCUCACGUCUUUAUCUUCCAUUGUUUUUAAAGCAGAGCUAAGGUUUGUAAUGCUUUAUUUUCUUGCAGUCAUUAAGGAAGAAGUAGUAUCUUGCUCCAUGGUGAGGACAUCAAGGGGGAAAAUGAAUGGCUGAAACUCUUGGGAGUACUUUCCCACUCUUCACCUUUUUUCAAAACUUUUUUUUUAUCAGUUAUAAUAUGAGCUAUAACUAAAUUCUGAAACCUCAACAAAUAUCCAGUAAUUCUAUACAGGUUAAAAAAGAGAAGUAACGAAAAUAAACAAAAUCUGAUGGUCUCCUGAAGGAAGAUGAGACAUUAGUAAUGCAGGAGCAGAUUCACAGAUCAACCAGACAUCACCAGAAGUAGCACAAUUACUUCAAAACCAGGAAGCCGAUCACUUCCUACCCUAAAAAAAGAGAAAUAUCCUACAGACACACAAACAGAAUAUGCUUCUGUGAGCAUGAUUAAGUGAAUGACUAGUAAUUGAGCUUUGGAGCACUAUAUGUAGCCUCAGGUCACUGACUGAAAUUGAAAUCAGCAGUCAAUGGGGGGUGCACAAGGCUACAGAGUGUAAUCGUAUCCAUGCAAUCUUUUCAAAGAAUGUAACUUCUGAUUUUGAUAAAAGUGCACUACAGUAAAAAUACAAGUUUUGAAGGCCUGGCAACAGUAUACUCCCCAUAUACACGGGCCACUAAAAUCUUGGCAAAAAAUCAGUUUUUCUCAAGCAUUAUUAGCAAAAGAAAAAAAUUCCCACUUUACACUGGCAGCAACUUGUUCCCUUCUCUACUGUGUGGGCACAAGCAUUUACUCAUAGUAAACUGAAAGAAAUUCACUGAAAGCUAGCUUGGCAAAAUACUGUCAUCUGGAUCAGUUCACAUUUUGUUCCCAUACAUAGGAAUAAUUUUGCUGGGAUAAAUAAGAGCUCAUGGACAGAUGAGAGCUCUAGGUGGGAUUAAUUUCACUAUUAGUACAAUGAAGUAAAAAAUGAAUUCAUAAAGAAUUGCUAAAAGAUUCAAUACUUUUCAGCUUUGAAUAAGGCUCAGUGAGGGAUUUUUAAGGAAAGGUUAUUUGGAUUAUGAACAUCUAGUAUAUUUAAUUUAUUAAUCUAUUCAUCUCAUAAAACCAAUUUGUUAAUUUUGCUCUUGUUAAGCUUCUCUAGUGAACAGGAUGCUUGCACAUACCUACAGAUGCAUAAUCCUUAAGCACACAAAUCUUUUCCCUGUUGAGCUUGUCUGCUGUCCAUUAACAGCCUUCACACCUCAUUUGUAUAACCCUGGUUUCUGUAUUAUUUGCUAGAAGCUGUCCUUUAUAAUACAGUUUUGAUUUUACAUAAUGUGGUUAUCAAUUAAUGUGGUUAUUAAUUCCUUCUACAGUUUCUUUUUCUCACACUUCCUGUGAAAUUCCAUUUUUAUUAUUAAUCCUUAACUUUUCUUCCUAGCCAUAACUUUUAUGUUAUGAUUGCUUUUACAGUGACUACAGCAUUUCAGUAUUUUCUGCUAUUUCAAAAAUCACACUUCCACUAUAGACGUACCUUAAUACUGAAGACGUUACUUACAUUUGCAAUUUACAAAACUCAGUUUAGCUAGCUACCGUUAUCUCUAAGUGUUUCGAUACCAAAACCAUGGUCUGUACAUAAUUAGUAGCCAUGGAGACCAUGAAAAUACACUGUAUUAGACAAAUGCAUGGACCAGCAGGCUUCUGAGUUGCAGGAAAGACUUAAAUAAGUGCACACGGUCCACUGAUCACAAUUAUACAACUAAACUAUCUAUCCUCAUCUUCACCCCCAACCCUCCCCCAUUUUAAGGAAAUAUCAAGAAUCUCAAAGCCUGACUUACCCAAAUAGCUGACACCUUUGACUGGCUGGUCCAGUUACCUCCAUCAAUCACACGGAUAACAGCUCACUCAAGAAAAAGAUAAUGACUCUGUUCACAUCAGCAAGAAGAUAUGCAGGGCAGAAACAAAAUUACAUUAUGAUCUUGCAUGCAGAUGUUUUAAGUAGUUGGUAUACAGACAGAUGAACAACAGAAGAAAAAUAAGUCAGUAACACAUAAUCUGCCAUUUAGUACAUAUCAGGCCAGCAGCCUCCAAGCUAGCAAAAUAGCUAGACUGAGCUGGAGAUAGGCUUAGAAAAACUAUACUGAGUGCAAGUAAGGUGACAGAUUGAAUGGUGCCAAAGAAAUCCCUCAAGCAAAAGGGAAAUCAGAACUGGCAUAAGUGUGUCACUUUUUUUUUUUUAAUUACUGAUAUACACUAUAAUAAAUGUUUAUGUGGGUAUGUAUAUUAAUUACACAUAUACAGUCUUCAAAUUAGUUGUGUCAGGCAUACUACAGUCAAGAUAAUAAGUUAGAAAAAAUAAUGUUAGACAUUUUGACUAUUAAAAAAUUAAUACGGAAGGAAUGUUCAGCUUUUCUAGUUGCCUACCAUGCAAAUUCUCAGACGUUCAGCUCUUUGCUAAGUAUAAAUGCCUAGCACAGCUUUCAUAUUCUCCUACUACUACAUGGAUCAAAUAUCUUUACAUACAAAAUGGAAAAAUAUAUCUUGACUUGCCCUCUCCUCAGAAAAAUUUCCUGUAAUAGGCAAAUCCUUCCUUUCCUUCCUUCAUUAUGCUUUCUUUUACUGCUUAUUAUUGAGCAGAGGCAGUGUCUUUGCUUGUCCAUGAGCACAAGCUAGCAAAUACCUCCAAGAGGACGCCUGGCCUCACAAAGCAAUAGCUGCAUGCAAGGAGGCAACACAGCCAAAUAAAGGAGUGUCAAUACUGCCUUCACAAUUAAUGCAAGUGAACUACACAAAAUUAGCACAUGAUUACAUCUGUUUGAGCUGUGUUGAGAAAAAAUAAGUCCCAUCUCCCACUUUUUCCUAUCCUACCUGUCCAAUCCAGCUCCUCCCCUCAAACUGGCACUCCUGAGGUCCCUUGCCGAGUUGAUUCAGUCUGUUCUGGCAGCAGAAAACUGAUUCCUCAAAAGAAGAGCAGCUUUUCCACUAGAUUAGCCAGUUAAGUUUGUUUUGCUCAGAGGAAAGAAAUGGCAAGAGAGAAGUAAGACAGAACAGAACUGAAAAAAAAAUUUACAAUAGAAGUAAAAAAUUGCCAGCCUUGUUCACCAUUCACCUACAGGAGCAGCAGAGCUCAGUGCUGAACCAGAUCACACAACUGAUUCAGCUCAAAAGGAUCCUUUUUUUUUGGGCAGGGUAAUUUUCAACUGUUUCAGUUCCCUGUCUGCACAGCCACACGACAGGUUAUGCCAGCACAGCGUGGCAUGGCAGUGAACAAGAAGAAUGAUGAUAGAAUCAUACCCAAGAUUAAACCUGGACAGAGUUCUGUUGGGUUCUAAAGCAGUGGCCACUUAUAGCAGACUGCAUGGUACAUCAGAAGAAAAUUCUCUCAGUAACUCACCUUGAGAUGUAGUGGAUGCAGGAAGAUAAAAUCCCUGAAAAGGUGCUGCAUGUAUUUUCCUAACAGACAAGUCAGAUACAAGGUACAAGGAGGACCUGUUCAAACCAAGGAUUAAUUUAAACAUACUUCUUCUGUCAUUUCCUCAGCUAUAGCUUGUAAAAAAAUCUGUAAUUCUUGGCUAGUUUUAGACAUUUGAAAUACUUCUACACACUACUGAACUUUAUUUUGGGCUAUCUUAAGUUAAGAGUCAUUUCAAGGAUAGUUAACAAAAGACUUACCAUAUAUUCAAAGGUUAUGCCCUCACCCACACCACCUUCACAAAAUGCACAAGAGCAGUUCAAGAGCCAGUGUCUUCCUAGUCACCUUCCAUUUCCAGGAAGAUCUCCUUAUUGCUACCCACUGGAAGACCCCUCUGGCAUGCACAAGAAUUUUAAGAGGCACACACAACCCUGUGGAGGCAAAAAUCAACAGUGUGUCUGCAUUAUUUUUUUGUGCUUGGUCCAAAAAUGUGGCUUUUAACCUGGGUCCCAAGCGUCCCCAGUCCCCACACUUUGGUUCACACUGCAGAGAAGAAUCAAAGCAUGAAUGUGGAAUUCACUUUGGACAAAACUAAACCAGAUGCACUCCACAAGUCCACCUAAUGCACUCCAACAGUUACUGAGGUCACUCCAUGGGUUUUGAGCUAGUGUGAGGCAAAACACACUCAACAGUCUGCAAGUGAAGCCCCCAGUACUAAGAUCUGUUUCUCUAAAGUAGCAGCACUUGAUAUCAAAGACUUACAUUGAAUGAAAUCACAAAAGGUAAAUUAACCUACUAAAUGACAGUCAAUAGACUUACAUAGGUACAGCACAAAAUAUUUUUAAUUGUGUAUUAUCAUUGAAGAAUUGAGAGAAUACCUAACUAUCCAAAUACAGGGAAUUUCUGCAUCUGAGGGGUUGUUUUCUGCAAUGCUGGCUAGUUGGGAUGUCAGUAUCUAGGGGGUAUUAGAGUUCAAAUUUUUACUUAGAAGGAAUUAGAAUAUGUAUUUUACUAUCACCUCAAAUGGCUCCAAACCGAUGUUUUCCCAAUAUCUAAAACACUGAAAAAGCUCCUGAAUGUGCCCUAAUCAUUAGCUGCUUUCUAGAUGCUAAUAAGAUCUCAACCAUUCAUUUCAAAGUAGUUUUCCUCAGCAUACUUUUCACAUGCACAGCUGAAUUUACUUUCUGGAGGCUUAAGCAAAGGUAGAUCAUUUUAGCAGGUGUUUGUUUGGUGCUGGAAAAGGUUCCUAGGAGUCAUCUGAAUGUGAAGACCUGCUAAAACUAUUCUGGGGUAUACUAAAAGCUGCUACUCUUCUGGUAAGAAAUACUGAAAAUUAUUCCUAUUUCACAUCUAAAAUCUCCCUUAUGAUUUGAUGAGUCCUCACAGCAACUUACACAUAACAAUAAUGGAAUACAAGACAUGCUAUCAAGGAAUUAAAAGAUUUUUUCUAAUAUUAAAGAUAAUCCAUGAUGUCCCAGUUUAAUGCUAUACAGAAAUUUGCCUCAGAUGGCUUUUCCAGAAAGAUGUUCUGUUCAUCAAAGCACUCACAGAAAGUCUACUUGAACCCUUUUCUGACAUAACAAUGGUGAAAUGACAACUAGUAUUUUCUCUAAUUCUCUUUGAUCAACUGCCAAGCCAAAGAGAAAAGUCAUGUACUGAAACCAUUGUGCAUAAACUAGAGCUAUACCCUUUGGAAUAAAGAAAUAGGAACAGGCAGGUGAGCUUCCUUGAAGCUUAACAAUCACAGGAAAUUCUUCAUCAGUUGCUUUUUUCAUCAGUUGCUUUUAACAUGAACUCUGGAGUUUCCAUUUUGAUUUUUGAUGCCUAGGAAAAAAGCCUGAGUCUCACUCAGAUAAGAAGGUCCUGCACACUGGAGACAUUGGUGACAGCUUUAAUUCUUACCAUGCUGCAAUUUAACUGCAAGAUCAGACCUUAAGGCUUGACAGCUUACCUUCCUACUGUGGAACAGAGCACAUUCCUGAAGAAUAGAUAUCAGAAUAACAUUAGGUUCUGAAACAUCAGAUUCUGGGACAAAUAUACCCAACUUGAACCACAUACAUCUUACUAAUAUGACCAUUCCCAAAUUUUUAAAGCUCUGUGCCUUGCCUUCUUUCCAAAGAAUUAUGUCAUACAGCACUACCUUGUAGUCAUAUUUACUUGAAAAUAUUAAGAGAUUUCUCUCAAAACUCUCAAAACCCUCCUCAAUCUCCUGGUUUAUUCUACAUAUCUUUUAUUAGCUUCUUCUUUUCUUUACUUUGUUAAGUUAAUGCCAUCAUAUAAGGGUUUGGAAUCUCUUGCAAUAGAAGGUUAGGAGGGAAAGAAAUUCCCCCUGCAGACUUUUCAGUCUGCUUGAUUACAGCACUCAUUAAAAAAGCCUACCAUCAUUUUACAAAAACUAGAAGUACUCGGAUUUAGAUUCAGCUAAAGCUAGUAGCUAUGGAGUUAUACUGCACUGAUUUACAACAUCUAUCAAGGGAAAGGAGCACCAUUAGAGCAACUAUCUAAGAAGGAAUUCUUUCAGGACAUCACAAAAACAGCAGAAAAACCUGGAGAUUACAAAAACAUUCUCCAAAAACUCCAUUUUACAUACAAUUAGUUUUAUGAAUACUAUACAUUCUCUUUUUUUUUUUUUUUAAGUAGUAAAUCAGUGUACCAGCAAUGAUGAAGUUUUGAUCAGCAGGAGUUACACACAUAGGAACACCCAUUGCAACUUUAUCUCAGCAUCCCUAGAGCUUUGUGUGUAUUAUCUGCAGAAACACUUUGUCCCUGCACUCUCUUUUAACGGUGUUUCACAACUUUUUUCCUCACUAUGCUUAAUUUACAGCUUAUUUCUUCAAGGCAGUUGAUUUUAAGGAGCCUUGAUUUACUGUAGGCUUAUUUAAUGUCUUGCCUUGAGUAUUCACACAACUAACAUGAGAAAUUAGACUAAAAAAGAGGAAAGGAGAAGUGGGAUUAUCUUAUGGAAUUUUUUUCUUUUUUUUCAUGGAAACAAGCAUUUUUCUCAUCAGAUAUGUACUUACUUUAGGCAUCUUGCUGCUUUCUCCCAGUUUUUUCCAAGGUGAAGUUUCUGACAGGGAAUCCAUAGCAAGCCUUUGGUUUCUCACCAUCUACACUGCUAUGCCACUACUCUACAUCACAUGAAAGAGUCAUGCCAGUAGGAAACCACAUCACACCUGUUUGAAUACCUGGAAAUCUUCUUCUUCCAGAAACUUACUGCCCCGCACACUGUACUCUCCCAGGACAGGCUUUGCAAGUACCUAGUAGAAGGAUACAUACCUGCCCAACAACAUCUCUUUGGCAAUCUGAUUUGUCUUCCUGAUCCCAUGAGAACUCUUUUAAGAAGGGGUAAGAAACAGCAGUGUAGAAGGGUGUUGGUUUGCAGAAUUCCUAACUAGUACCAUAUUCAAUGUUUCUUCAAGAAUUACUGGAUUAAGACUUUACAGACUUUACCUCAGGUCUUGCUAUCAAUUCCUUCCUCAGUGGCCCAUCUCAUGGCACCAAAAGCAGCUUGAUAAGAAUAAAGGGAAUUUCCUUUUUUUUUAAGGACAAGCAUCAUUUGUAGAGGUUCUAGAAACCUUUCCAUUCUGAGUCAGAUCUGCAAGACACUUUACUGCAAUUCAUUUUAAUUCCGAAAGAAUGUGUAUUAUUUUUCAUCCAUACAACUUCCCACAAAAUUAUUCUGCAUAAACAACCUACUUCCUAGAUUUGCAUUUAAAUGCACACUUCCAGUAUGCAUUUAAAUCCCCUCCAGCAUACAUCUAAGAAAAAAAAAAAAAAAAAAAGAAAAGCACCAGAUAUCCCACCUUCCAAAAAAUCUAAAGUAUAACCUAGGGAAAAAAAACCUAAAACCACAAACCCAAACAAAACCACACCACAUAAUUUAA